UUUGACCAAAAAGGUAAAGGAAAAAAAAAACGUUACGUCUAAUUUCAUCACUUGAUAUCCUUGAAUCAAAUCCUCCGAAUAAAAAUCUAUGCUCUAAUUAAUUAGACUAGGAACUAAAUAUGAAAAGAAACUAAAUCUCAAGUUAAGUAGGAUCAAUACAAUACAUUCUGAUGACCAAAACUAGGCGUUUGGCAUAGCACAACAGUAAGGAUACCAAUCUUUAGAGAGAGAGAGAGCGGCCUCAAAAGUAACUUCAUCCAACCUAAAUGCAGAGAGAUUUUCAGGCCUCAAAAGAUGAUUUCGCAUUCCUUUAUUUUCCAUUCUAUAUUGAAAUAUAUACAGAUUUGUGGGAUUAUUGUAAUUGUACAAGAUUUUAGGAGUUUGUAUAUCUACUCGGAAGCUAAAUAGGCUGCAAAAUUAAACACAACUGUGAAGCCAAAAGGGUAAUACUCUCCCAAAACGCUAGGGGCCUUGAGUGGAUUCAUCGCGGUUACGUUGAUGACUCUUGAAAGCAUAGUUAUGUCUCAAACUCUCGAUCCAUAUGUUAUUAACCUACACAUGCCACAUCCACACCAUGCUGCGUGUUCCUUAACAUGCUCUUCUUAUAAGAUGACUCGGAGCGUUUUAAAUCUUCCAAGUUUCUAUCACAGGUACUGGCUGAGAGGCAAAUUCCAUCAUAUCCCCUGAGAGGCAACUUUGUGGAUCAUGUCUGAAAGCCUUUAUAAGUCUCCUUUAAGCGACUGGAAUUCUAGUUGCUCAUGAAAAUCCUCAUAUGGUGAAGAUUCACUAGAAGAAUCACUUUCAAAUGGUUCAAAUGGAGUGGUUUCCCUUGGAGACGAUGGAAGUGAAUCUCUUUGUGAUGAGGUUGAACCUUUCUGUCCUCUUGAGCGGAAUUUCUUUGUGUGCCGCCUGAUAAGCUUCUUAGCCUUUGUUAUUGUUAGUUGCCUAGCAAAAGGAGAGAACUCUACAUCACUUUCACUCCACUCGCCAUGGAAAUCAUUCUCUGCUUCACCCCUCAUAGUUCGCAGCACAAAUGCCCUGGCCUUGCGGCGUUGAGUAUUGAAAAGACCCCUUAUGGAAGUUACAAAUCCAUCUCCUGCUCCAUCACUUGGACGCUUAAGCCAGUUUGGAUACUGAUCAGAUUUGCUUGGCUGACCAUCAUUGUCGCUAAAGUUAAGCUCAAUAUCAGGGACACCAGCUCCAUUGGAUUCCCGUUGAUUAUGUGCUUUAUCUUUAAAUUUCUUGCCCUGCAUUCCUGUCACAGACUUCAGCGUUCCCCAAACAACAUGCUUCUUUACUCGUGAGAACAGCCUCCUCCAAGUCCCAGUGAACUCAACACGAUGGAAAGUAUCCAUCAGCAACUUAAGCUCAUGCAGAUUAAAUCUUGAGCUUUCAUAAGUAAUCUGUAGCUCGACCUGACUUAUCUUAAUAUUGUGAAACUCCAUGACUUUUCGAGGUCGGGAUCUCUUCUCUUCAUUUGAUUUACCAAUCUUUUUUCCUUCAUGGGAUGAACGACCAGACUUUACAAGCUUGGACUCUUUCGAUUUACUUUUAGAGGAUUCAUAUGGUUGUUCAUUAAAACCAAGUGGGUCGGCUUUUGAAGUAGAAAUACUGGAUGAAUGAACCUGCAAGACAAGUUCGGUAGCAACAGAUUCUGCAAGUGUCUCUUCCCAUGUUCUGUCAAAAGAUGAGGUUCUUCUCAACUCUGGGCCUGAACCAACAAUGAGUUUGGAUGUGACAUCAGAAUCUUUUGUUGCAUGGCUGUAUGAUGAAGAAGCUUCUUGGAUUGAUGAACCUUUCUUUACACGCCUUGCGCCAGCAGUUGUUGAAACUUUCCAAACUUCCUGUCGCCUUUGUGAAUCUUGUUCUUCUUCUGGGAAGAAAUACUCCCACAUCAUCCUGUACAUCGUCUCUGUCAAAUGAAUCUUAAGGGGAUAAAUCUCUACCUGAAGCAAAAGGGAGAGAUUAUGUUAAGCAAGACUCAGAAAAUAUACACUAAUUUUGAAACAGAAUACCCAAAAUUGGUUGGAUUAAGUUCUAAAACAUCCACAUCAAAGAAGGAAAACAAAAAUAUUACUUACAGUGCAACUCCUAUACAGAAGCCAAAGAAACUUAAGCAGGACAAUUUCAAUUUAGAAACUAAAAUGACCUCCCCUUCAAAAAGAUCACUGUUUCUCACCCUCCAAUAACAACUGGGUGAGAGAUUAGUUCCAUAUUUCUUCUUCCACUCUGAAAUAACUCUACAAUGCCAGCAUCUAAGAAAACUUGAUUGUUGGAAGCACCCAGUAAAGCCCAUAAUACAACAACAUGUUAAUGGUGGGCAAGUAGAUUAGUACUCCUGCAUUUUACACCUAAGAAGCCUCUCUGCUUCAACUUAUAAGUUACCAAGAGGGCCAACAGACAUUAUUUUCAUUCUCUGCAUAUUCCUUUUAACUUUUCUUCCUAUUUAACCAAUGUCUCUUGACAGAUAACUGCACAGACGGGGAAAGAUUUUAACAGAUUUAAAGAUGCAUGCAAAUGGUUUGUGCCCCACAUCUUGUUUCAAUUAAUGCUACUGUGAGAAGUCAAAAGAGAGAAACAUAAAGGGACAAAAAGGGAAACAAAACUAAAUUACCUGGAAGAGUUCAAUAUGGGAAUUUCCAUCCCUUGGAGCUCCUUGCUUUGCAUCUACACGAAGCAUGACUUUCUUCCCCCAAUCUGGUGGAGGAUUCCACGCUGACAGAACCAUAUCAGACUUGGCAUUUGGCAGGCAGUUUCUCACAACAAAAUAUUUUGUUGUAAAUAGAGCAACACCAACAUCCUUGUAAUCCCGGUCAAAAUCAAAGAUCAUGUCAUUUAUCUCAGCCUCAGCAAAAGAUUUACCAUCUACAAGCAUGUUCCAAACAACUUUGUUGAUUUUCAAAGAUAUACGCAUUGCAUAGGAUGGACUUUUGUUCUUCUCCUUCUCCAUCAGACGUAGCUGGGCAGCUUUCUGCAAAGCCAUCCUUAAUGAUGCAGAUGCUGCCUUCCUAAACCUUUUUGCAUUCACAAGCUCUCUCUUCAGGCCUUGUACCAGAUUGGAUCUUCCACCAGUGAUCAUCCACAAUUCGCCUUCCUUUCUUGAAAGGUCCCCAGAAGUAUCACCAUUAAGAGACAAUCUCCUGAUGUCAUCAAGAAGUAACUUCUGCUCACGUUCUUUCCGUUCAAGUUCGAUUUUAGCAAGUUCAACCUCUUCUACACCAUCAGGCACCAUCUCAUCCGCCUCCUCUUCAACAUCUUCAUCAUCUUCAGCUGGAAAUGACAGACUACUCUUUCUAGGCUUGGGAAGCCGUGCAAAAAGGAGAUUGGUCAACACAUCCAGCAUAACCUGAAACUGACGAGAUGUCAUUGUAGCAGUUAUAUUAUCUGUAUUGAAAGUGAGCUCUUUUAGAGGCUUCACCUUCAGGUCUGGAGUCCCGCCUUUGUGCCUUGUGUACCGAAAGUACAUAUCACAAGGCAUAAACACUCUUUCAAGUAGAGCACCAGUACGCUUUACUUUAGGGGAGCUUCUUCGAAUUUUUGGGAGCCACUGCAGUCCAGCCCCAGGAUCAACAUCAGUUGGUGCAACAUGAGCCUGCACAUGCUCCAACAUCACAGAGAACUCCAUGCGCUUCCAUGUCAUUUCAGGUACAGAUUCAGGAAGGUGUAAAUCUCCACUGCCCAGUGCUUGCUCAAUCAUCUCAUAACCAACAUGAAGGACAGAGUGAAAUGAUCGGGCCAAAACACGACCACUAACAGCAGCAAGGAGGAAUCUACCAUUGGCUUCUUCAGAAUGCAGAUUGAAUUGUGGCUCGAUAACAUUCACCAUGAAAUGGCGAGUCCCUUCCUCCUCAGAAUCAUCUAUGCUUCCAUUUGUUGCUGGAAAUAAAGCAACAGCAGAAGAUGAAUUCUCUAUUUUAGCUGAAUGUGAUGGAGAUGAGAGAGACCCUGAAGUCUCUGCAUGUUGAGAAGGGGAAUCAGCAUUAUGGCUGGUAGAAGGGGGUUUAGAUAUAUCAUCUUGAUUCACUUCACUUUCCGCAUGUGAUUGGUUCUCCUCAAGUAAUUUCCUCUGUGCAUACUGCCGAGAAGGAGAAGGCUUGGGAGGUGCAAAUGCUUUGGACAAUCCACCAACCCAGGACCAAACAGCAUCCCUAUUCUCAAUAUUCCAUAAAAGCUUGAGACUAUAAACAAAAACUCGCUGACAAUUGUCAGCAAUUACCACAUUGUAUCCAUCAUCAUCACCUGGGUCAGAUCUUGUGUGAUCAUCACUCUCACUCCCAUUUUCGAACUCAGACCUCACAUAUGUCAUCUCAAGAUUUUUUCUCCCAGCCUCUUGCCAUGCCAAUAACCUUGUAGGGUCAGCCUUUGGUGCCUGCCUUCUGAUUGUAAAAUAAUCACAUGAUAAAAGAAAUCCAUCAUCCCGGUGCUUCUCAGUGCAACCACUGAUAUUAUUGUGUUUUUCACUGGGAAUUCUACCCAUAGUUGAAGGCUGGCAAUUUUUCUUUGUCAUUUGAACUACUUUUGCAACAGUGGUAGAAUCUUCUUUAUCUAAGAUGGCCUUAGGCAUGUGAAGGUCCACACCCUGGUAAACAAGAUCAAGAGUGUCUCGCUUGCAUUCAAAAGUGUACUUCUGCUUACCCCGACUGAAACAGAUUUCAUAUUUCAACUUUGUCAUAUUAAAAGUAAGUCCUUUUGCUGGGUCAUCAUCAUCUAAUGGCAUGUGUUUUAUACAAGCGGGUGUAGCAUCUACACGGAGGAAAAAUUCUGUCAUCACUCUGUCCAGUGACAAAUUUCCUGAUCUGGGAAUUCUGGGAACCCCAAAACGAGGCCACCGGGAGAAAUAACGUAAUUUGUGAGGAGGAAGAUAAUUCAAGUUCCAAAACUUCUUUAACCAUGCAAAAUCAUGAGCACCGACAUUCAGUGUUGGAACAAUUGAAACAUUUUCAGGUUUGUGAGGUGGAUUAUAGACAGUUCCAUCUACUACAGUGCUGUCUCCCAUGGAGGAAGAAGAGGAUUGAUUUUCACAUAAGGAAAUAGAGGGUCUUAGAGAGAAAUUCCACCGGAGCAAGAGAGAUGUAGACCUGAAGGGAUCAAAAACUUUUUCACGAGGCCUCCCUUCAUUAGGGAGUGCGAAUAGAUAAUGAUUCAAUGGAGUGCCAGAAUCACAGUCCCAAUCCAUUGUGACUUCAAGAAUAAAGACUGGAGCUUCAAGGAAAGCACCAUAUGCACCACUAGGAAGUUUUAAGCCACAGUUACUUGCCAACCUCUCCAAACUGCUCAAGAAAAUCUUAAAAUCCUUUGCAGACAUAUAAAUACGGCCAUCUGACUGCUGGAUCUCCAUGGAACCAGAUGUGAUUUGAAGCUUGUCAAGCUUUUCAUAAGGAUCAGUUGUUGCAAGAAUAUGCCAUCUAGUUUCAGAAAAGCCUAAGGUGAUAUUUCCAUGAAUGUAAUUUCUCAUAUCAUCCCACCAUGGUAAACUGCGCUCCUUUUUCGGUGGUUGAACUAGUGGACCAGGAUUUCUGACACUUAGAUUUGCCCUACGAAGAGCAACUGUAAAAGCAUAGCUCACAUCAGCAAAAGAUGGUUCAUAACCGACACCAAAUGAUACUUCAGCUUUCUGAAAAUACAUAGGCAAAUCGAAGUAUGAUUUUGUUGGAGGAGUUGUGCCGGUAGCUGAACGGAGCAAGCGCACCUUUCUCCACCUCCCAAUGAAGACAUCUUGGUAAAUUUGGGGCUGAAAGCAGGUUGCCUGCUGCGCUAGCACAACACGACCUUCACAUUUACCAGCCGCACCAGCAAAAAGAGGAAAUGUGUAAUUUCUUAUCUGAGCAACAAGGGUGCCAGUGUGCAAUAAAAUGUUACUCCCAUAGAGUCGAGAAAAUGGUAUGUCCACUUCACGACAGACAGGAUCAAGCUUUUUCAGAACCUCUAUCAUCCCAUCAUCUCCACCAUCAAUCCUUGUCAAGCUUACAUCCAGCUCUGUAGCAGAAAUGGAAAGAAGAGAAGUUCUUGAAGUGCUAGGCUUAAAACCAGACUGAAACCCCUCCCUACAGGCACCUGAACCUUCAGAAGGUACUAACUUCUGGCAUGCCUGGUAAUAUGAUCUAAAUGAUUGUUUGUAAAUUUCUUCUUGCAUUUUCUGAAUAGCUAAAGGAUCUUGCAUGUCAAUCUGAACCCCAUUACAAUUAACCUUUCUUUCAAUGGUGGAGUCAUUUGUUUCAGCAGUUUUAGAACAAUUAUUAACUUUGGAAAUAAAUUCAUCAAGAAACUUCUGCCUGACAGCCAGCUCACAGGCGUCACUCUUCAUCAGCUGGUAGUGCUCAUCAAGCCAACCCUGCAUCGGUUCUUCCUCAAUAUCAGCAAUUAGCUUGCGUAUGCAAAACUUUACACAUCCAAAUUUUGUUGAACUAGACUUUUUAGACUUAGAGCUUUCUUUCUUCAUGGGAAAUAUAAGUUGAGUUUUAGCAGCAGUAACAAGCUUCAAAGCCCGCAACAUAUCUUCAACUGAAUCAUCAAUGGCACGCAACUCCAACCUGUACGGCAUUCUAAUAUGAACAUCAAGCCCUUGAAUCACCCAAUCCCAUGUGAUAGCUGAAGGCAGUUUUGCAUUAGAUGAACUGCUAGAGGUACUAGGUAUGCGAGAAAUUUGCAUUCUACCACUUCUGAAUACUUUGGCCCCAUUAAAACUUAAUAUAAGUCCUUCAAGAAGUACUCCUAUACGGGCAUUCUCUGAAAAAAUUGACUGAACAUGCACCAUUGCAUCAACUCCAUCUCCAACCCCAGCAGAUACACUCAGCAUUUCCACGUCAACAGCGAAAAUAUUUUCCUUUUUCUUAGGCUUAUCAAAAUUUCCUGAUUCCAAAGAGGCAUCUUUCUUCUGUUCAGUAUCUCUCAUGCUUGAGGCUUCUUCCGUCCUUUCAUUACCAUGUUCCUGAAGCUUUUGAUUGUGCACCAGUAAUUUCAGCUGCAGAACAAGUUCAAUCAAUGACAAAUGUGCAUCAGGCUCCCACCUGACAGUAAUUUCAGUAGCACUGAAAAGAGAGCAAAUAGCAAUCCCUUUAAGACCACCAGAGCGCCGUACAAAUUUUGCAUUCUGCACAUCAAACAAUGUUACUUUUGUAUCAGAUCUAUGUUUCUCCAAAUGUUCCUGAUAAAUAGACCUUGCUCUUUCAAGUUCCAUUUCUGUAGUUUGGUUCUCCUUGAUCACACACAAAGCAUAAUGGAAUAUGUCAAGAGAAAGAGAAUAUUUCAACUUCUUGCAAUCAUCAGAAACUGUGGAUAUCACACUUGCAGUACGUGGGGUGCCAUCAUCUGAGACACUAAUUACAACUCGACCACCCUGCGAUCCAUAAUUGACGCGCUUUGGAUCAGCAACAACAGCAUUGUCCAAACUUGUUUCACCACAAAAAUUUACAGUGCAACGUUCCAAAUUAAAUUUCAAUACUUGAAUCCCUUUCCCUGAUGGUUUAGAAGAUCGCCCACCUCGGCUCUGUGAUGUUUUUUUACCAGAACCAGAUAGACUUUUCAAGAGAGAUUGAAAGGAAAUGGCAGUUGCUAUAAGUGAUUGUACACGUUUGAAGUUAAAAUAAAUACCCAUACCAGUCACAUCAACAGAGAGAACUAAUUUACAUCUAGCACCAUCCUCUUCAGAAGAUUCAAUAUCCUUUUUGCCCCAAUCUAAACUAACCCUUGCUAUAUGAACUAAAGCACCUGAAUUUGAUUCAACAACAAAUGGGCUCUCUUUCAAGCAUUCUUGAUAUUCAUCUGACAUGUGGAAGUUUAGUUCACCAAGUUCCAAAUGUAUUGCAGUACCCAUGCUUGACACGUUAUUUGCAAAAACAUGUGAUGAUUGUGAGCAUAAAUGAUACAAAGGCAACCCGUUGAUACUAUAAAGAACAAUCGUCAUCUCAGGAGCUGAGACAGUACAUGUCCACAUGAUGGCUUUGGAUGCAGUUGAUUGUGAUUUUACUGGCACAUGAAUUUCCUCUCGAAGUACCAUUUUUUUCUUUCUUGAGUAGUGGAGUUGUAACCAUGGCUUCAACCUACUCAUUAUAAUGUUGCAUUGAGUACCUCCCAGCCUAACAUCUAUUUCAGCUCUAACUGGUGAGGUUGGCUCUAUUGGAAUGUAAACAAAAGAGAUGACAACAACUUUCAAUAUCUCCAUAACAGAAGUGCCAGCUUCUCUGAGAAGAUGUAUCUCACUGAAAUCCAUCUGAACAUCAAGGCGAGUACUCUCCCCCAUAUCUUCAGUGCAUAAGGAUUUGAUGCUCUUUAAUUGAAUGCCCAUGAUAUUAUUCUCAAUAACAAGAUCAUGCUCCCGAUGAACAAACCUCACAUCCAGUUUUGGUAAAGUGAAGCUAACCUUUUGAGGAAACAUAGAAGUGUACUUUAUAAUUGCAACAAGUACUGAUUGUUUUCGUUGUGGAUCUUUAACAACAGCAGAAUUGACUACAGCUUUAUCUGUCUGAGUAGAAGCAUCUAAAGUCCUGUUUUUUGAAAGCAGCUUCUCAUUCAGGUGCACAAUGACCUCACCACAGGUAAUGUCCAAAUUGCGGAUAAUUACACCUACCUCCCUAUCAUGACCAAAUUCACAAGAGAGAGAAAAAUCUUCACAAAUGAAGGAAGCAAAAGGCCCUUCUGUUAUACCAAAUGAUGUCUCGCCUACAGAAAUGCAUCCUCCACCAUCAUAGUUGGAUGAUUGGUCACAACUAACACGUGGUUCACCCAUGUGAAUAAUAAUAGGUAAUAUGCGUAGCUUAACAAAUAGAUUUGGCUUGGAUCCACCAUCUUUGGUUAUAUCCAAUCUCAAUUCCUUAAUUUCAAUCAUAGCUUUGGGACUCUUUACAACCAAAUCUGUAACAGAAACUGACAAAAAUCUUGCUAUGUUAGCUAAGACCAUCCACUUUCCCCGGCCUGAAUUGCGAGUUCGGGCUUUUUGAGCUUUAGUUUUCUGUGAGCCUCUGCUAGAAGACCUCAUUACAAUUUCCAAGUCACAUAUUAAUACUUGCAGCUUAGGAUCUCUGGAAAAGAAACCAACCCCAAGUUUGACCAGGGACUGGCGUACACUGAGUCUAAUUUCACCAACAGACACAGAUUCAACAGCACCCUUUUUAAACUUCACUACAACAUCUCUUAAACAUUUCCAUCCACCAACCCGAAAUCCAACAGAUGCUCCAACAAUCCGGCUUAAAAUCCAAGCCAGCAACCUAGAAGCAAAUAUGAAGACCAUCCACAAUGUGAUGGAAACCAUCAAGAAUCCGAAGAGGAAUUUCACUGGUGAGGCUGCCAUUGUCAAUUGAAUUGAAAUUAUCACGUCCGAAACUCGAUCAAAUCAUCCAAAAUAACCAGAGAUCCAAAUAAAAAGCAUUCUAUGCACAGAACUUCAUGUCAAGAACCCAAAUAACAUUUCCAAAUAAGAAAAAGAAACCCUAAGGAAUUGAACCAAUUGAAGACUGAAGAGGGGAAUUUUCCUCAAAUUUGGUACGGGCUUUAAUUUUCACUUUCAGGAAAUCAGGAACCAAUCUUCGAGGCAUGGCAAUCAGUUCCGUCUCAUUUAUAAGAGCGUAGAUCCAAUCCUUGAGGUUCUCGCUGAUCACAUAGAGAGAGAAAGAGAAA
rnacentral:misc_RNA from 1 species